rnacentral:piRNA from 1 species
GGAAAGAGGCAUGUGGGAUUUAUACA